CGCAUAGCUGGCUCUAAGACCUGGGUGUGGGCCAGCCCCAGGCCUGCCCUCUCCCUGCCAACGGGGGUCUCAGGAGAAACCCACUCCCUGGCACCGGGGGCCUCUCAGGGCGUGUAAGCCAUCCUCGAGGCAUCCUUGCAAUGAUCACCGGGAAAAGGGACAGUCAGAGCUAAAGAUGGAGCUGGAAGGCUUGGAGAAAACUGACAGAGGCAUCCACAAAAGGGAUGUACAGGACUAGGACUGGAGAGAUGUGGAGCCCAGUUCAGAGAAGAGACCCAUCCCUGGUUCCACAGGGAGCUUGGAGGAGGACCAACAGGAUCUCCUGCGUCCCAGGGAAGGUGCUCCGGGGCUCACAGAGAGGACAGACACUUGACUUCUCUUGUUUCCC
rnacentral:lncRNA from 1 species